UCCAAUCGUUUGGGAAAUGAAGGUAUCUG
rnacentral:piRNA from 1 species